CUGCCAUUCUACUAAAUUUCCUCUCACAUCUUCUAUCCACCCCCUCCCACAUACACAGGACAGAAGCCGAACAAGUGGAGAAGAAAAUGAUGAGAGUAAUGCCGAGGGAAGACAGCAGCGUGGUUAACAUCACAAGAUCAGAGGGAGCCCAGAAGCAGAACCUAGAAAAAUCCUUUCACAGCAUGCAAUAUAGAACAAAAAUCCCCAGAAAACUCAAAUACUACUAUUAUCAUGUUUCAAAACAAGAAAGCUAAGAAAGGCGACAAAAGGACCCAAGAAAGGCUCGGACAGACGCAUGGCAGAGUAUAUCGAGAAGCCAGAAAACCAUGCCCAACCAAAAUACUCACUCAAGGUCUCUUGAAGCUCAUCAUCUUAAACAGCUAUACACGAGAAGG
rnacentral:lncRNA from 1 species